rnacentral:rRNA from 1 species
AGCGAACGCUGGCGGCAGGCUUAACACAUGCAAGUCGAGCGGGCACCUUCGGGUGUCAGCGGCAGACGGGUGAGUAACACGUGGGAACGUGCCCUUUGGUUCGGGACAACUCCGGGAAACUGGAGCUAAUACCGGAUAAGCCCUUGGGGAAGAUUAUUGCCAAAGGAUCGGCCCGCGUCUGAUUAGCUAGUUGGUGAGGUAAUGGCUCACCAAGGCGACGAUCAGUAGCUGGCUGAGAGGAUGAUCAGCCACACUGGGACUGAGACACGGCCCA